ensembl:lncRNA
CAGGCUGUUGCUGACUGGGUGACAGACACGUAACAGAGAGGAGACAUGAACGCUGUGGUGGGACUGCUGGUGCUGCUGGUCAGAGUUUCUCAUGGUGUGGAAACUCACUGUGAUGGCAGACAGGAUGGAGCUCAGUGUUAUGGAGCUUUGGGAGGAACUGUGGACAUCCAGCUGAUGAACAGCACCUCAGAAAUUUAUAGAACAUUUAGGAUCAAUAACCUGAAAAGGAAUGACAGUGGUGAUUAUACCCUUCAAACCUUUGAUUCAGAUGGAGGAGUAUCAGACGUGUGGACUUUACAGUUGUUUAUUCAAGCUCCUGUGUCCUCUGUCCUGCUGGUGUCUGAGUGUCUGUCCCUGGGAGAGAUGAGGGUGUCCUGCUCCUCUGAGGGAGGGGACAGUCCUCAGUACAGCUGGACUCUG